UCAUGCAACCAUUGAUCCCUCAUCAGUGGAGUAGGGUUCAGCAUUAUGUCUUAAAUUUACCCAAUCCAUUGAAUUAAUUUAUUUUGCAUUUGUAUUGUAGUAUUUUACAUGGUGGAAACAACUACAUAUUUUUAAACAGGUUCAGCCCCUCUCGUGCACAGAGAAUUUUAAAACGGGGUUUUCUUCAGAGCUGGCUCAAAAAUACAAUUUCAGUGGAACCAAAGGGGAAAAAGUUUCCACUCACUUCAGCUGAGAAGUAUAUUAAUUGCCACAGUCCAAGAGAAAGGGAUUGAGGAAUGAUUCGAAGGGUGAUGCCAUCUAAUGAUGAGUAGAAUUACAACAAUGAAUUAGUCAAGUUAAAAUUAUUAAUGGAUUCCACCACUCAUGGAUCGAUUUUUGGUGUCAUAUUUUUCUUUUAUG